AAUUAAAAGGAGCGUCGGAGUGCAUUAAUGUCCUCUCCCUUCCCAAUGAAGUCUCUCUCUCUCACCUACAAGGAUCAGAAGCGGCUCCGAAAGCACUGCCGCAGCCUCUUCUCUUGCAAGUCCACAGCAGGCAGAGGCGAGGGGGCGGGGCCUCUCAAGCCCUGCCCACUGCCCCGGAGACCCGGAAGUUGCUUGAAGAAAGCGGGGCAAAGUGAGUUGCCCCCUGGAAGGUGCCUUAGAGAUCUGCUUUUGCAGGGAAGAGGGAGGGCUGGUUGCUAUGGAAGGCUCCUCACAGCUUCAAUAUCCUCAAGGCUCCAGGUGUGCUGGCCUGAAAGGCGAUACUGGUUGGGGAUGAUGGGACUUACUGUCCAACACCUGAGGUGGUGGCAGCACAGUUUAGUAAAGGGGUUGUAGGUAAUGGAAGGCCCUGGGCUCUAAAUUACUAGGUGUACAUUGUUGUCUUGACAAGACCAACAUCUAUUUAUUCCAAGUAACCACCAAGGAAUUCAAUGUGAUGUACUUGUUGGCAUGGAUAAAGAUUGCU
rnacentral:lncRNA from 11 species